CCGAGUGCCUGUUUCCCUUUAAGGCUGGCUCUGAGAACCACAACUCCCUAAGGUAUGAAUCCGGGGAAAUCCUUCUCCAUUAGCUCAGCCCAGGAGAAUUUGGGUGAUUUUGGGAAGUGGUGCGUUCGAGAUGAUGAUACCCAUCCUGGGCGGGGGAGGAAGACAGAGUACCCUGGUGUGCCACGGGCAGCACCCGCCUCCCUGGCGCUGCUGCCCACGUGACUUGAGGAGUAAGGAGAGCUCUUCCUGGCUGCCGCCUGGCCUGACACGCUGCCCCAAAUUCCACCAUCACUCAUGCCCCUUCUUAGGACAAGGGCUUCCAUUAAAAUGUAAAUAUUUUGUCUGGGAAAGAGAACACUUUGCUUUAUCGCUGAGGGAAAGGAAGAUGGAAAUUUGCUUCUAUCGAGUGCCUUCGGCAGGAGAUGGGCACCCUCACGCUGUCCUGGAAUCCACAGGCAGCCUGGCGAGGCGGGGGAGUUACCCGGCCUGCGGGUGAGGGAAUGGAAACUCAGGAGGGCCAGGGGUUUACCCAGCGCUCGGCAGAGCCGGGACACGAGCCCAGAACCGACUCCACCCCGCUCUGCUCGCGGCACCCCUCUCCUCCUCCUCGUCCUUGGCAUGCGGCUCCCUGGAGGGUGAGAGGAGACAGGGCAGGGUUCUGGGGUCCAGAGCGCAGCCCUGUCCGCAGCCGCCUGAGCAGUCACGUCUCGGCUGGGAUUUCUCCUUCUCUGUGGAUGCUGUAGCAGCAGCACUGAAUCUGCACCCCUCGGGGCUGUUGUGGGGGCAGGAGGUCUGGGCAUCGAGAGCCCCGCUCCCGACCCAGGGACACCCCUGCCCCUUCUCUGACGCUGGCAGCAGCAGGAGAGGACACUGGCUCCCUGUCUCCUCUUCAAGUGGCGGAGCAGCCGGCCUGUGCCUAGUUCAGGAACUACACAGUGGAGGCCAAUUUGAGAAUCCCCACUUGAACCACCGGCCUUUUGCCCCUCUCUGAGGCCCGAAGCAAGCCCCUAGCUUCCUGUGUGCCUCAGUCGCCCUGUCUCUAAAAUGGGCAGCCCAUCAAAUUCACGUGUCCUUGACGGAGAGGAGUCUGGAGAAAUAACCGGUCCCCGACCUAGUGGGAAUUGCGUGGUGUGCUAAGGAUGAAAUGCGCAGGCCAUCAGCCGAGGGCUGUCAUCACAGGACCUGAUCUGAGAACGCUCGUCUGCUGAGGACAGGCAGGUCAUGCAGCCGCAGGAAGCUUGAACUAUAGGUUCUCUGGGCUGCUCGUGGGCUCGCUCUGAAAGCACACAAUGUGGCUGGGCCUCCCUUCUUGUGGCUGCAGCUCAGGCUGGCCAGGACUCUGUCCCGUGCACCUGCCUCUGAGGAAGCCAGCAGGAACUGACGCCUCUCAGCAACCUCAGCCCACUUUGCAGAGGAGGAAACUGAGAAGCAGGGAGUCAAGUCACUGGCCCGGGGUCCCACAGCCAAGGUGGUCAGAUCUGCCUGACACAGACGCCAGACUGCCUCCACGGUUAUUACCAUCAUCACAAUAGAAUACUAAUAACACUUGUAAUUAUUAUUAUUAUUGAGGGCAGAGCUCCAGGCAGGCAGGUCGGGUGACUUCGUCAUUGAGGCCAGGUGCCUGGCCAGUGCCCAGAACUAGGCAGGCUCCUGUCCCAGCUGGCCCCAGGACUAUGCUGAAGACGUGAGGCCCCAUCGUGCAGAUUGGGUCGACAGCAUGGGGCUCACCCCCCUCCAUCAGAUCCUGGACUCAGGCAGCACCGCUGCCCGUCUACUCCUGGAUGCCUUUGGUGAUGGAGCCAGCGGCGGUUUGGGAAUCAGAGCACUGAGAACUCAUCCAGAGGCACAUAUUGCUUUAUAAGUCACAGCCCCCCGCCCCUCCAUGCAAUCCGAGUAUUCCUACUCCAAAAGGUGGUGCUGCUUACGAGCAGAGACUGGGCCAGUCUGCCUGGGCUCACAUUCUGGAGUUCUGUUCACUGCCUCUGUGACUCUUGACAAGCGACUUCACCCACUGCUCUGUUUCCUCGUCUGCACAACAGUGCACAACUCAAGGUACAGCUGAAGAAGGAGCUGUCUGUCCUGAGGCUGGAGGAAACGUGGGCUCCUUGAGAUGUGAUUGUAGACUGACUUUAUGGUGAUUUUGACUCCAUGAAGUGAGUGGCCUCAAAUGUGUUCAAUGUGUGGCUCAUGUGGCUGGGACAGUCCUGUGGCCCCAGCAGGCACUGGCUCUGGGCUGGUGAAGCCAGAGGGCUUGCUGCCCAUGGGAUCCAGGUCUGUGUGUUUGAGAUCCCCCAGCCUCCUGGUUCCCCUGGAGAAGAGAGGCCAUGGAGGAGCCUGCCCAACAUGUUUGCUGCUUCCCUGCUCCGGUCAGGAUUCCAGCUCCAUCUGGAUCUGGUCUGUCCUGCCAGCUGGGACCCAGGGAAAGAGGUGGAAACUUCUCAAGACCCAUUCCCGGGCUCUGGGAUGUGGCUCACCCAGCUGCCCCAGCUCUAGGCUUGGUGGUCAAGUCUGCAGCCCAAGGAGACGGCGCUGCAGGCACGGGGUGAAGAAGGGCAGAGGCAGCCCAGACCAAGGACCAGCACAAGCAAAUGCAGGAGAGGUGGACUUGCAAGGUGCCUGCGGAGACAGGCAAAUGGAUGGAGCAGAGGCAAAGGGGUCCGCCAGGGACCGAGGUUCCCCAGGGAGUGUUGCUAAGGCAGGCUGGGGCCCAGGAGUCCAGGCGGAGCAGCCAAGGGCCCAGGAGCUGAGGGGGUGGGGCGGGACAGGUGGGCUGCGGCUCCGAGCUUAGGAUAGCCUCUUCCUCUCUGUCUUCCGUGAGUGAAAACAACAAAAGGAUUGCUUACAACCUUCUGUUCUUUUCAGGAGAGGUGAGUGGGGUCAUAGGUGACCUCAGCUUCUUGUCCCCGUCCGUAUUCCUGGACAAGGAGGAUGGUGGAAGGACGGAGGACAAGGCAGUGCCUCUGGAAAUCCAAAAUGCCAAGUCCCAGCCCAGGUGCCUCCCUCCCACCGAGGAGCCUCUGGUGUCCUGGUCGCCUCUGGACGUGGUGUGGCCACCAGAAGAACCGGGCAGCUCCAAGGGGCCCCCUGCUGGCCUGAGGAGUUGCUGCGGCCACAAAGAAGAGACUGGCCCUGAGCUAACAUCCAUGCCCAUCAUCCUCUACUUUAUAUGUGGGAUGCCUACCACAGCAUGGCCUGACAAGCGAUGCCAUGUCCGCACCCAGGAUCCGAACUGGUGAACCCUGGGCCACCAAGAUGCAGAAUAUGCGAACUUAACCUCUGAGCCACCGGGCCAGCCCAGACUGAUGUCUUAUGAUUGCCCCCCACCCCCGCCACCCAUCCAGGACGGGAUUGGACAGCCCACGGUGUGUGAGGUUAAAAUUAAAAGUAGAUGUUUUGAAGAGAGACCAGGCGGUUGGCAAGCCUGCAGGUCCUCGGGGACGGUCGGAGCUGCCUCCUGGUGAUUUGCGGGAUCUGAAGACGGGGUGCGGACAGUGGCAUUCUAGACAGCAGUUAGCUGGAGCCAAGGCCCUUAUCUGCUUAGACAAAUCUGGAACACUAGAUGGAGGGGAAAGCAGCAAGUCACAAAAGGA
ensembl:lncRNA